GCGAACAUCCUGCGCGGCUACCAGCCCAUCCCAGCACGGCUACGAGCUGAGCCGGCUCGGCUCUGACCCAGCAUGGUUGCUCUUAAUCAAGGCAUCCUAAAAUUUCUCCUCUUUCUAAUUCCUCUCUUUCCCCUUCUGACAAGUGACAACCGGCGGCGCAGCAUGGUUGCUCGGCGACCUCUACUACCCCUUCUCAACCCUCCUGCCUUCAUCAUGGUUUCCAUGGGCGGGUGCCACGACGGCCCAUCGACGGCUCCGGACAGUCUGCGGCGUCGCAGCGGAAGCCAUUUUUCCUGUCCCGACGGUACCAUACUAGCAUCCCCCAAAUCGGCGACCUCAUCUGGAGCGGCCCUGCGACUGGCCGGCAAUGCAUCAUUUCCUGGCAGCAGAGACACCCCAAACUGGUCUGCGCACGGGAGAUCAGUUGUCAAGCUGCUCUGGUAAGGGCUCUUCGCAAAAUCACCAAUUGUUCAUCCGCCCAUCCGGUUGUCCCCCUGCAGAUUUGGAGAUAGCUGGUGCUCUAUCGUGAUGACAGGGCCAUUCUAGUCUUGUAGAUGGCCGUCACUGAGCAAGGUGGAGGCCGUGAGAGGUCCGGUGUGCUCCACAUAUGUGUUUUGGUUCUUUUCCGUUGCUCUCGGGUGAGCAGCUUUGUUUUGAUUCUACCAAUUUCAGGUACAAGACACCAUUGUAAAUAUAUAGUUCUCGUAAUUUUACUAGGCCUUCAUUGUCUCUUCACAUCGGUAAAUUCACCAGAUAAUUUACUGCUAUUACACUUCUCAGUUUUAGAUUCAUGUAGCCGAAGUACUAAAUGAGCAUUGGUCACCAUAUUAUUUUUGCAAGUUAGGCCUCUCUUUCUCUGAACAUUGUUCUACCAUGGUCAUGGUAUACAUUGUAAAUUUGCUUCUCUACUCUCUUCUAUUCUUUGCUUCCCAUUUAGUAAAUUUAACAUUUCACUGAGCUGUAUGGGUGACCACCAAUAUAUUUUCAUGAACCUUGCUUUCCUGUUACAUAUAAUUUAACAUUUCGACGUGGCAUUAUGCUCUAAUUUCUCAUAUACUCUACUUGCCUAUACUUAAAUUUUUGUUACAUAUAAUUGUAAAGGAAAUAGUUACGAGAGAUAUUCUAAAGGAAAUAGUUACGAGAGAUAGGAGUAUGGUGAGUAUGUCAAUGCAUAAUUUGUUUAUACGUCCUGUUUUUGGCUCAGGGAUAAUUCCAAUUGUUUACUACCAUUCUCAUUAUGAUGAUUUCAGGUGAUAAGGACAUCUGGGCAAAUAGUAGGCCAGGUCUGCUUAGAUUCAUUUGGGAACAACAAAUACGCGUCUGCAUCGACUUCAAUUUGAUGACCAGCUUCCAGUAAUCUGGAGAUUCUGAUGCCACAGCACAAUUGGCAUCAGGUCCAGAAGACUAGUAGAAAUGCUCCAGACAUGAUGAGGCUGCACCGGUGAUGCUGUUUGCACGGCCAUCUGAGAAGCCCAACUAAAAUGAGAAAGAUGACUAAACACAUGCAGCGAAACAUGCCUCAGUUUACGUCAUCCGAUUUGUUCUUAACACAUCAAUGAAGUACAAUGGCUUUGGUGGUCUUUCAUCCUGAUGUUUGGUGUCAACAUAAAUACAAAUACCCAGCUACUAUCUUAUUUGUAGUUGUUUUGUUUUGUUUGGUUUCGACAGCGUGUUCUAUGAGAAAAAAAAACUCAGAUUAGGAUGCCAUGCUAAACCUCAUUUUGUGAAUUUGUUAUGUCCUACUCUCUUUUUUCUUCCAUUGUGAUAACCCACUGUACAAAGAUCUGGUACAUAUCUGAAGGCAUUGCCGUAAUUGUGGUAAUAUUGGAUUAGGAACCCUUUUUUGUUAA